UGGGGUAAUCGGAUAGCCGCUCCACGUGAGAGGAAAGUCCGGGCUUCACAGGGCAGGAUGCUUCCUAACUGGAAGCCCCGCACCUUUGGUGACACAUGAGAUCGAUAAACAGUAUCUUGAAAGGAGAUGCCGCCGUCCUCCAGAGAACAGAAGACGAGGCCUGCUCUGAGAGUAUUACAGGCGAUCUCACAGUUGUAACCACAGGCUAUGACCUUGCGUUUUGUCAAACCGUUGCAUUUUUGAUGAAACCUCGAUGCACAGCCUGUUGUAUCACCAAAGGUGCGGGGGGAAAGUGCCACAGAAAACAUACCGCCCAGCACCUUUGGCGGUACAUGAGAUCGACGCCACGACUGCGAAGAAGAAACUUCCGCGUCCUUCAGAGAAAUAUGGAUGAAAACCUCUCUGAUGAGAUUACGGGCGAUCUCAAUGCUGUAACUGCAGGCUUGAUGUUGUGUUGCAUCAAAUCGCUGGAAUUUUGACAAAGCAUCAAUGCACAGCCUGUUGUGCCACCAAAGGUGCUGGGUAAGGGUGAAAUGGCGAGGUAAGAGCUCACCGCUCUGAUGGUGACAUCAGAGGUCCCGUUAAAUCGGGAUUCUCGUCCUAAUAGGACGGAAUAUGGCAAACCCCAUCCGAAGCAAAACCAAGCAGUUCCAGUAGAGGCGGCCCGUCUCUUCUUGCCGUUAAAAGCGGUCGGGGCUGGAACGGGUAGGUUGCGCAGAACCCGGCAGUGAUGCCGGGACAAGAGAAAUGGCUAUCAAUUACAGAACCCGGCUUAUAGAUUACCCCACAUC
rnacentral:RNase_P_RNA from 1 species